GAUGAACGCUGGCGGCGUGCCUAACACAUGCAAGUCGAACGGGUGUGGUAUCAGGGAAAAGGGGUUUACUUCUUUGACCAGAUAACACACUAGUGGCGGACGGGUGAGUAACGCGUGGAUAACCUGCCUUAUACAGGGGGAUAACAGGGAGAAAUUCUUGCUAAUACCCCAUAGGUAUGUCUGACGCAUGUUGGACAUAUUAAAGCUUUGGCGGUAUAAGAUGGGUCCGCGUCUGAUUAGCUAGUUGGUGGGGUAAAGGCCCACCAAGGCGACGAUCAGUAGCCGGCUUGAGAGAGUGGACGGCCACAUUGGGACUGAGACACGGCCCAAACUCCUACGGGAGGCAGCAGUGGGGAAUAUUGCACAAUGGGGGAAACCCUGAUGCAGCGACGCCGCGUGAAGGAAGAAGGUCUUCGGAUCGUAAACUUCUAUCAGCAGGGAAGAAGGAAGUGACAGUACCUGAGUAAGAAGCCCCGGUAACUACGUGCCAGCAGCCGCGGUAAAAUAGCGUA
rnacentral:rRNA from 1 species